CUGUAAUUAGAAAGACUAUAAUUAGGCUUUUUAAAUUUGUAUUUUCAUUCUUUGUAAAGAGUGCCAAUGGAUAUGAAGAUUAAAAAUAAUCCAAAUCCAUAAAAAUUAAAAAGAAAAUAUUAAAGAAGUUAUAUGAAGCAAAAAAAUUGUAUAAAUGGACAGAAGACAUGUAAUAUUCGCAUACAGGCAAACAUUCAUAAUCUAAAGGACACCUAAAAAUAGAUGUAAGCGAGCGGAGGUUUUCUUUGCUGGCCACUGUUUAUCGCAUCAGCAGAGGAAAGAUCUGAAUGACUCAGUGACCAAAUGUUUUGUCAGAAUCUGGUAUUUGGAAUACUGAGGUAGUAAAAACUUUAUCUGAACCAUGAAUUACAAUCUAAAAUCAACUUCUGAGUUUGUUAAACUCUAAACUGAAAUCAAGUAUUAUUUCCCCACCAAUAUUCAUAUCCAAAAAUAACUUUAAAUACACACACACACACACACACACACACUUUUAGUGAACUGGUUUGAAUGAAAAUAAAUUUAUAUAAUUAUUUUAUAUAACAAAUCAGCAUAAAAUGGAAAAUCAAACUGCCUCUCUAGAUAUAAUAACCUUCACUGACUGUUGGAAAUACAUGGAUAGCUUUUUAAAAUCUUCAGUGUUGGAGUAACAGUCCCUUACAUCUUUUCAGCCUCUUGAGUACAAGAAGACUAUCAUAAGAGUUAGUUCCAGAUUGGUGCAAGACUGGAAUACACUUGACUGCUUUUAUUAAAGCCAUGAGGGCAUACCAAGUAAUUCACCCAGUAUGGUCUUAUUGCCACCCUUGAAAAUCCCUGGGCAUGGUCCAGUCCACAUAGAAUGAAUUCAGAAAGGUGUCUCUUGUUGGUCUCUAGAACUAUCCUCAGAAAUAAUAGUAAAACAGUGGUCAUGAGUAGCCUCACUAGGCUACUUCAUGUACAUUAUCUUGUUUACUCUCUAUAGCAACCAUAUGAGAUGUAUAUAAUUAUUAAAUUGUACAGAUGGGAAAAUUGAAAUUCAGAGAGAUUAAAUACAAUGCUUGCUCUGUGUUACACUGUUAGUAAGAGAGCAAUACAUGAACCCAAGUUUGAUCCUCAAAAUCACACUUUUAAUUACUUGAUACAUAAUGUCUUCCAAUAUUGAAUCUAGACUAGGGCAAAUUCUCAGCCCAAAACCACACUUCAAUUUAGCAAUAAUGUCGUGCUAGGACAUGAGAGGGAUUAACAUUGAAGACACAGCCUCUAUCUUUAAGUAAUUCAUAAUUUAGCCAAAUAUAUUAAAUAUCUGUAAUAUAAAACUUACCUAGGAAAGUAAAAUAGAGAUCCAAGAAUCAGGAGUCCUAAAGCAUAUAAUGAGUCUGUUCCUCUUGGAAGCCACACAUGUCAAGGUCAUCAGUAAGCAGGCCUACUCUUUCUUCAUAUUCUGGGUUAAUGUUCAC
rnacentral:lncRNA from 10 species